rnacentral:rRNA from 1 species
CAUUCACGGAGAGUUUGAUCCUGGCUCAGGACGAACGCUGGCGGCGUGCUUAACACAUGCAAGUCGAACGAUGAACCGCUUUCGGGCGGGGAUUAGUGGCGAACGGGUGAGUAACACGUGGGCAAUCUGCCCUGCACUCUGGGACAAGCCCUGGAAACGGGGUCUAAUACCGGAUAUGACUGUCCAUCGCAUGGUGGAUGGUGUAAAGCUCCGGCGGUGCAGGAUGAGCCCGCGGCCUAUCAGCUUGUUGGUGAGGUAGUGGCUCACCAAGGCGACGACGGGUAGCCGGCCUGAGAGGGCGACCGGCCACACUGGGACUGAGACACG